GCGCCCGUACCCCAACGGCAGAGGGACGGCCACUUAAAAGGCCAUUUCAGUGCGGGUUCGAAUCCCGCCGGGCGCA
rnacentral:tRNA from 1 species